UACAGGACCUACACUGUCAGAGGAUCUGCAU
rnacentral:piRNA from 1 species